GGUUCCUACGGGCGCAGCAGUGGGGAAUAUUGCACAAUGGGGGGAACCCUGAUGCAGCGACGCCGCGUGAGUGAAGAAGUAUUUCGGUAUGUAAAGCUCUAUCAGCAGGGAAGAUAAUGACGGUACCUGACUAAGAAGCCCCGGCUAACUACGUGCCAGCAGCCGCGGUAAUACGUAGGGGGCAAGCGUUAUCCGGAUUUACUGGGUGUAAAGGGUGCAUAGGUGGCAGGGCAAGUCAGAUGUGAAAGCCCGGGGCCCAACCCCGGAACUGCUCUGGAAACUGUGAAGCUGGAGUGCAGGAGAGG
rnacentral:rRNA from 1 species